rnacentral:rRNA from 1 species
AGUGAACGCUGGCGGUAGGCCUAACACAUGCAAGUCGAACGGCAGCACAGUAAGAGCUUGCUCUUACGGGUGGCGAGUGGCGGACGGGUGAGGAAUACAUCGGAAUCUACUUUUUCUUGGGGGAUAACGUAGGGAAACUUACGCUAAUACCGCAUACGACCUACGGGUGAAUGCAUGUGUUCUUCGGACCUUGCGCGUUUGAAUGAGCCGAUGUCGGAUUAGCUAGUUGGCGGGGUAAAGGCCCACCAAGGCGACGAUCCGUAGCUGAUCUGAGAGGAUGAUCAGCCACACUGGAACUGAGACACGGUCCAGACUCCUACGGGAGGCAGCAGUGGGGAAUAUUAGACAAUGGGCGCAAGCCUGAUCCAGCCAUACCGCGUGGGUGAAGAAGGCCUUCGGGUUGUAAAGCCCUUUUGUUGGGAAAGAAAAGCAGCAGGUUAAUACCCCGCUGUUCUGACGGUACCCAAAGAAUAAGCACCGGCUAACUUCGUG